rnacentral:rRNA from 1 species
AUUGAACGCUGGCGGCAGGCCUAACACAUGCAAGUCGAACGAGUGGCGGACGGGUGAGUAAUGUCUGGGAAACUGCCUGAUGGAGGGGGAUAACUACUGGAAACGGUAGCUAAUACCGCAUACCAUCGGAUGUGCCCAGAUUGGAUUAGCUAGUAGGUGGGGUAAAGGCUCACCUAGGCGACGAUCCCUAGCUGGUCUGAGAGGAUGACCAGCCACACUGGGACUGAGACACGGUCCAGACUCGUACGGGGGGCAGCAGUGGGGAAUAUUGCACAAUGGGCACAAGCCUGAUGCAGCCAUGCCGCGUGUAUGAAGAAGGCCUUCGGGUUGUAAAGUACUUUCAGCGGGGAGGCGUUACCCGCAGAAGAAGCACCGGCUAACUCCGUGCCAGCAGCCGCGGUAAUAC